ACUCCUACGGGAGGCAGCAGUGGGGAAUAUUGCACAAUGGGCGCAAGCCUGAUGCAGCAACGCCGCGUGAGGGACGACGGCCUUCGGGUUGUAAACCUCUUUUAGUAGGGAAGAAGCGAAAGUGACGGUACCUGCAGAAAAAGCACCGGCUAACUACGUGCCAGCAGCCGCGGUAAUACGUAGGGUGCAAGCGUUAUCCGGAAUUAUUGGGCGUAAAGAGCUCGUAGGCGGUUUGUCGCGUCUGCUGUGAAAACUGGAGGCUCAACCUCCAGCCUGCAGUGGGUACGGGCAGACUAGAGUGCGGUAGGGGAGAUUGGAAUUCCUGGUGUAGCGGUGGAAUGCGCAGAUAUCAGGAGGAACACCGAUGGCGAAGGCAGAUCUCUGGGCCGUAACUGACGCUGAGGAGCGAAAGCAUGGGGAGCGAACAGGAUUAGAUACCCUGGUAGUCCAUGCCGUAAACGUUGGGAACUAGAUGUAGGGGCCAUUCCACGGCUUCUGUGUCGCAGCUAACGCAUUAAGUUCCCCGCCUGGGGAGUACGGCCGCAAGGCUAAAACUCAAAGGAAUUGACGGGGGCCCGCACAAGCGGCGGAGCAUGCGGAUUAAUUCGAUGCAACGCGAAGAACCUUACCAAGGCUUGACAUAUACCGGAAAAGUUCAGAAAUGUUCUCCCCGCAAGGCCGGUAUACAGGUGGUGCAUGGUUGUCGUCAGCUCGUGUCGUGAGAUGUUGGGUUAAGUCCCGCAACGAGCGCAACCCUCGUUCUAUGUUGCCAGCACGUAAUGGUGGGAACUCAUAGGAGACUGCCGGGGUCAACUCGGA
rnacentral:rRNA from 1 species